CCUACGGGAGGCUGCAGUGGGGAAUCUUGCACAAUGGGGGAAAGCCUGAUGCAGCGACGCCGCGUGAGUGAAGAAGUAAUUCGGUAUGUAAAGCUCUGUUAGUAGGGAAGAACAUGAGUUUACGUGAGUGUUAAGCCCUGGAUAACUACGGGCCAGCAACCGCGGUAUUACGUAGGGCGAACGCGGUAUCCGGAUUUACUGGGUGUAAAGGGAGCGGAGACGGUAGUGCAAGUCUGGAGUGAAAGGCGGGGGCUCAACCCCCGGACUGCGCUGGAAACUGUACGGCUUGAGUGCAGGAGAGGUAAGUGGAAUUCCGAGUGUAGCGGUGAAAUGCGUAGAUAUUAGGAGGAACACCAGUGGCGAAGGCGGCUUACUGGACUGUAACUGACGCUGAGGCUCGAAAGCGUGGGUAGCAAACAGGAUUAGAUACCCUUGUAGUC
rnacentral:rRNA from 1 species